CACAACGGAGUGCGCAUGCAUCAAGCAGCGCCCUGUUUUCGCGCCCAAAUUGGCGAGCAGGAGAAUCGUCCAAUCGGGCGGCGACACAUGGCGAAGGGGUGGGACCAAGGCUAAAAAAAAACCGGCCGUUUUGGAGGCGGGGCUUCUUCUUGGCUGUAAAUUGUAAAAUUUGCCUCAGACAAUCUCGGGACGCCGAGAGAGAAGGCAGCUUGGCUUGGGAGCCAUUCUGAAGGCCUGGGUCGGAAGAAAGAAAGAAAGAAAGAAAGAAAGAAAGAAAGAAAGAAAGAAAGGGCAGCCGCGGCUAGAAGGCCCGAAGAGACAGGCUCCGUUUCUGAAGCAGGAAUGGCAAAGCCUUGUGAAACGGAUGGAAGAAAUAAAGGCAAAAUUUUUGAAAAUUUCCACAGCUUUUUCUAAAGGGACCAGCGCUGAAUUCAGUCAACGGGAAGAAAGAAACAAAAGGUCGAGAGACAGAGGACAGAAGAUGCUUGAAGACACCCUCACAAGGACACCGCCUGCCUCCCAAAAAAGGUCGUUUUCAGGGUAAUUGGUGUAAUGGUAGGCAUUUAAUGUCUAUCUUAGCAUUAAAAAAAGGGUUACCUUUGCACACGGUUCCCCUCGCGUGUGGCAUCGAAGAAGUCCCACUCGGGAACGGACGGGUCCUCCCUUUGUUCUAGGCAGAUGAUGGGUCUUCCUAUACGGGCCGUAGGGGUCACAGCUUGGGGGUCAGCGGGGGGCCCCGCCCUGGCAUCGUGGGGGGCAGCACACAUUACGGGCAUUUUAAGAUGUCCUUGCAACUUAGAAAUAAAAAUAUCAAUACUAACAUCUUACUAACACCAUUCUAAAUAGGGUACCCUGCCCUUUUAAAUAGGACUGUGUUCUGCCUGAUGGCAAGAACCAAGCUGGGAAGGGAGGGGGCCUCCUGGCCCCCCAUAAAAGGGCCCCCAUGGAAGGACAUUGCAAAAGGCCCCUAAGGUGUCCUGAGAGCAGCCUCUUGGUCCUCAGUGUUCCCCACGGUGCCAGGGCUGGGCCCCUCGCUCUCCCCCAACCCAUGGACCCUGCCGCUUGUAUAUCAUCCGUCCAGGGCCAACGGACGCCCCCUCCCUCCCCGGGCGGAGCUUCGAGGCCACACUCAAGGGGAGACCAGAGCCGUGUGCCUCAUGCCAACGCCUAGCACGUGGCGAACCUUUUUUUUUACUGCAAACAUAGGCAUCAUGAUUGUGAUUUUUGUUAAUUCCUUUUAAAUUUAAUUGUUUGUAUUCGAUAGCAUGGUAGGCUGGUUUUAUAUCAGUGAGCCGCCCCGAGUCCCUCUGGGGAGACGGUGGCAGGGUACAAAAAUAAAAUUAUUAUUAUUAUUAUUGAUUCGAGGCACCUGGAAAAAGAAAUACCAGGAAGCAGAUAAAAUUAUUAUUAUUAUUACUGAUUCGAGGCACCUGGAAAAAGAAAUACCAGGAAGCAGAUAUUAUUAUUAUUAUUAUUAUUAUUAUUAUUGAUUCCAGGAAAAAGAAAUACCAGGAAGCAGAUAAAAUUAUUAUUAUUGUUAUUGUUGUUGUUAUUAUGUAGGACCCCCUUUUAUUUAUGUAAGGCCACACACCCAGGGGACCACUAUUCCUAAUUAAAGCCUGGUUAAAGGGGAUCCUCUAUUCUUAAAGUUAGGCGUAUAGAGAUCUCCUAUCCAGAAACUAACGCGGCCUGCCCUAUAGAGAUCUGUUAAACCAAGGUGGCCUGCCCUAUAGAGAUCUCCUAUUUCACGUAAUACCAGGCAAUAUGGAGAUCCCUGGUUUUUUUAACCGUUAAAUCCCUUAUGUGGGGAUAUCCCUGGUUUUUUUUAACCGUUAAAUCCCUUACGUGGGGAUAUCCCUGGUUAUUUUAACCAUUAAAUCCCUUACGUGGGGAGAUCCCUGGUUAUUUUAACCUUUAAGUCCCUAACGUGGGGAAAUCCCUGGUUUUUUUAAUCUUUAAGGCCAGAUGUGGGGAUUUCCUUGCUUCUUUUAACCCGUAAGGCCAGCCAUGGGGAGAUAUCUUAGGCUGUUUUCACGAAAAGUCAGGUAUAGACGCACUGUUUUCUCUCCCGUUCCAUGUGCCUGGACUCCCGGAGGGCUCCUGCCGGACACCGUCUCCCAUCGGCCGAGAGGGAUCCUUCUUGUCUGGGAAGGAUCUGCAACACAGGUAAAAAGAAGAUUCCGGGAAGGAGAUUCUACAGCGGAGCCCUUAAGCCAGGUGAGACACUCCUUCCAGCCUCCACGGCUGCCUUGCCACACACACACACACACAUGACACACACAACACACAUACACAUGUACAGCUGGGGUCCACGGGGACUCUUCCCCAAUAGAUUGGGGACUCCCACUCCGGCGAUUGGCCAUUGUAAAUGCCUUGAAGCAGUUUGGGGCUUCCGGCCAAGCGCUUGCAAAGAGAAUCCAUUCAAGGUUGGACCCCCUUUUAAAGGGCCUGGCACGUGGUAUUUAUUCCUGGCACGUGGAAAACUCCAUUUGUAAGGCAAACCCUCGUUAAAGGAGGUUUGCAAUUAAUUUAAAACCAGGCUUCUGAGGGACCCGCUGCGUUUAAAGCCAAACCUAGCAGGUGGGAACCCCUUUGGUUAACGUAAGGCGAGGGACCCUCCAUAUUUAAUAAGAUGCCUGGCAGAAUCUUAACCUAAAUGCAGGCCUAUGGGCUACAGCCUAUUCUGCAUAGCCAGGCAUGGGGGGACCCCAGAUUAUUAACUUGAGGCCUGGGAAAAGGAGAUUUUUGUAUUUAUUACAAUAUUUAUAUCCCGCCCUCUCUCCCCUUAAAAGGGGACUCAGAGCAGCUUACGUUAUAUUUACAUAUUUAUUUAUUACAAUAUUUAUAUCCUGACCUCUCCCCUUAAAAGGGGACUCAGAGUGGCUUACAAGUUAUAUUUACAUAUUUAUUUAUUACAAUAUUUAUAUCCCGCCCUCUCUCCCCUUAAAAGGGAACUCAGAGCGGCUUAACAAUAAGACGCAUAUAUAAAAAACCAUAUAGUGCAAUAUAAAUCAUCAUUAACUUACAUCAGUAUUCAUAAAACACAUUAUAAAAUACAGAUAGGUGUGUUCAGUUCAAAUCCAUUCAAGGUAUACGUGGACCCCCUUUUAAUGCCAACCUUUCCACGUGGAAAACUCCUUUUGUAAGGCAAACCCUCGUUAAAGGAGGUUUGCAAUUAAUUUUAAACCAGGCUUCUGAGGGGACCCGCUGCGUUUAAAGCCAAACCUAGCAGGUGGGAAACCCAGUUGGUUAACGCAAGGUGAGGGACCCUCUAUUUUUAAUAGGAUGCCUGGGAGAAUCUUAACCUAAAUGCAGGCCUAUGGGCUACAGCCUAUUCUGCAUAGCCAGGCAUGGGGGGACCCCAUAAGAUGAAUUUGAAGCCUGGUAAAAGGAGAUUUUUGUAUUUAUUAACUUAUUACAUUUAUAUCCCGCUGUCUCCCCUUAAAGGGGACUCAGAGCGGCUUACGAGUUAUAUUUACAUAUUUAUUUAUUUAUUACAAUAUUUAUAUCCCGCUGUCUCCCCUUAAAGGGGACUCAGAGCUGCUUACGAGUUAUAUUUACAUAUUUAUUUAUUUAUUACAAUAUUUAUAUCCUGCUGUCUCUCCCCUUAAAGGGGACUCAGAGCGGCUUACAAGUUAUAUUUACAUAUUUAUUUAUUUAUUACAAUAUUAAUAUCCCGUUGUCUCUCCCCUUAAAAGGACUCAGGGCAGCUUAACAAUAAAACGCAUAUAUAAAAACCAUACAGUGCAAUAUAAAUCAUCAUUAACUUACAUCAGUAUUCAUAAAACACAUCAUAAAAUACAGAUAGGUGUAUUACAUACACUGUAUCAUUAGCAUCGCACAAUAUUAGCAUUAUAUACUACAUUGCAUUAUACCACUAUACAGAAACAUUAUUAGCAAUAUUACAUUUAAUAUAUAAUAUGUAAUUCAUAUUAUAUUGUAUCAUUGUUAGUAUUAUAUUGCAUUAUUUAUUUAUUUAUUUGCUAGAUAUAUAUGCUGCCCUUCUCACCCCCAAGGUGAACGGCUUACAAAUUAAAUUUACAUACAAUAUUAUAUUAUUACCAUAGUACAAUACUGGCAGUAAAUUACUAUAUUGUACUAUAUGAAUAUAUGGUAAUAUUAUUAGUAGUAUUACAUGCAAAAUGUAAUACAUAAUUAAUAUUAUUAUAUUAGUAUAUCGUUUUACAAUAUAAUAUGAACAUUAUAUGUAUAUGCAAUAUGUUAUAAUUAUAUAUUAAAUUUUAUAUAUAUACACACACACACACACACACAUACAUACAUAUAUAUACACACAGUAGAGUCAUCCAACAUAAAUGGGCCAGCGAAUAUUUAUUUAUUUAUUUACAGCAUUUUACCGGGCUGGCCUCGAACUCAUGACCUCCUGGUCAGAGUGAUUUGUUGAUAUUUAUUAUUCAUUUACAGCAUUUAUAUUCUGCCCUUCUCACCCCGAAGGGGACUCAGGGCAGAUCACAUGACACAUAUAGGCAAACAUUCAAUGCCUUUUAACAUAGAACAAAGACAAACAAACAGGCUCCGAGCGGGCCUCGAACUCGUGACCUCCUGGUCAGAGUGAUUCAUUGCAGUUAAUUGCAGCUGGCUUGCUUUCCAGCCUGCGCUGUUGGAUAAUAAGGAGGCAUUAUGGAAAAGCCUAUUAAACAUCAAAUUAAUUGAUGAUUUUACAAAUUAAGCACCAAAACAUCAUUUGACAGAAAAAGUAGUUCAAUAUGCAGUAAUGCUAUGUAGUAAUUACUGUAUUUACGGAUUUAGCACCAAAAUAUCACGACGCAUUGAAAACAUGGACUACAAAAAUGCGUUGAAUAAUCCAGAAUGUUGGAUAAGAGAGUGUUGGAUGAGACUACUGUAUAUACAAUAUAAAUUAGAAUAGCAUGUUAUUGGGGGAGGAGCAUCUUGGUUAUUAGAUGUUUUUAUUAGUUAUUGAUAUUAGUAUAGAUAUGACAUUGAGUAUAUAUUAUCCUAGCACAAUGUUAAUAUUAGUUAUUCAUAUUAGUCUCAAUAUGACAUUAAUAGAGUACAUUAUUAUCCUAGCACAAUGUUAUUAGAUGUUAAUAUUAGUUAUUGAUAUUAGUCCAUAUGACAUUAAUAGAGUAUAUUAUUAUUCUAGCACAAUGUUAUUACAUAGGACCAUGUUGUUGCUAGGGGGAGGGCCCCUCCACUGAUUGUAUUAUUAGUAUUAUGUUGUUGCUAGGGGGAGGGCCCCCCAACUGAGAUCCCCUGUCAUUAAUGUGUCAGACCAGGCAUUUCACUCCUACCUUUACGUCAGAAAGCAGGCUCCCUGUGCGCUAGGCCUUCCUUUGAGGAACACAUUCACGGCUCCGCUUGAGUGUGGCAUUGAGGCCCCACUCAGGGACGGGCGGGUCCUCCCUUUGCCCUGGGCAGAUCGUGGGGGGUGGGCGGAUCUCCCUAGACGGGCAGGGGGUCGCGGCUGGCGGGACAGCGGGAUAUAAAAAUAUAAAUAUAUAUAUAAAAACCCUUGCACCCAAGGAAACAACUCUGGGGACCCAAGCGGCUGCUCCCAGCUCACGUCACGGGCAUUUUAAACAUCUCGUAGCAGCUCAGAUUAAUACCUGAACUAACCUUAACCUGCUAACCCUACUAACACAUUUCUAACUAGAGCAGGAAUUUUAAAUAGGGCUGUUUUUGCCUGUUGGCAAGAACCAUGCUGGGAGGGGGCCUCCGGGCCUCGGGUGAGAAGAACCCUAACCCUGUCCCUGCCCUGCGCUGGGAGCGCCCCCCCUCGGGACCCCAGUGUUUGGUCCCCGCUCUCCCCCAAUCCGACGGCCUAGAAAGCCCCUCCGCCAUCCGCCCAGGGCCAACGGACAGCCCUCCCUCCCCGGCAGCCGCGUUCCUCAUGCAACAGGGAGCCUGGUUCUGGAUGCAAACGUGGGACCCCCUUAGGACCCCCUUUUCUCUGUGCAGGGACCCCCGCUCCCUAUAAAUAAAUGCCUGGUGGAAGGGGAUCCUAGUAGAAAAAGCCACAGUUCCUAAGAGCCCCCAAAAGCGAGAUGCUCCCUUGGUUCAGCCCUUCUGACACUUGUUUUCUCCCUUGUUCUAUGUCUCCGGAAUCGCCGAGGGAGGGGCUCCUCCUGGACAAGAGCCAAGGACGGACAGAUGGACGGACGGACGGAAGGAGAUCCCAGAGAGCAGGACGCCUUGCCGUUCUGGCUGCUGAGCUCGACCCCUUUCCAACAAUGUCAGCGUUCAAGAAUAAAACUCUUCCCAAAAAAAGGUGUUUUCUGGUUAUUAUUCAAACGUUUAAUUUUUGACAGCCUUAAACAUCUAGAUUACAAUACAGUUUGUGCUGCUGCCUUUUAUAAACCUUGUUUUCUACAAAUAAAGUCAAGAGAAACACUAAGUUUUGCACUGUGCUCAGACUCAUUGUUCUGAUAUUCUGUUAUAUGGUUUUAUCAUUUAUAUCGUUUUUAAUGUAUGACUUUAUUACAUGUGACAUGGGAGCAGGGUAUAAAAAUAAAGUAUUAUUAUUAAUAAACACCACAAUUUUCUUGCACCCCAAGUACAUCUGGCCAUUGCCAAAGAGUAUUUAACUGCCUACAUGGCACUAAAGUGUAUUUAUAUGUUGAUUGUUUCUAUUGAUUUUAUGUAAUGUUUGCUUUAUUUGCAUUGAAUUUUUGUCUGGAUGUAUCUUGUAUGCCGCUCAUCUCCAUAAAUGAGUGGGAUAGAAAUGAGGUUAAUAAUUUUACGAAUGUUUUAAUGUAACUUGAAUUUUAAAUUGAGUUGAAAUGUGAUUGUAAUUGUUUAUAAGUGUUAUCUAUUUAUAAGCCACCCUGAGUCUCCUCUUAUUGGGUGAGAAGGUCUGGGAAGAAAUACUGUCAUAAAUAAAAUAUUCUGUGUCCA